CGAGAAGAUAAGGGGCGAAGGACUUUUUGAAAUCCGAUCGGUGUAAACAUGAUAUAAAUUUAUCUUUGUCCUUUCUUAAGAGACUCCGGACGCUCCUUGUCCUAAGCCCCAAGCAUCCGGUUACCUUUGCGGAUCUCCGCCGCCUGCUUUUGCGCUAUUGUUACUUACGACGUCUCUUCUCUUACGCAAUUCCUGACUAGUUGUAGUUUUUCUAAGGACCGGAAUAAGAGGUUUCAGCUUUUCGGGGUAUUUAACAUAACGAAUAAUUCUUUAUUGGAAAAGUCGUGUGAUGCACGUUCCGAGAACUAGUUACUUAAAAGCAUAAGCCAUGCAAAAGUCUGGAAAAAAAGAGAGAAGAAGAUGAGGGUGAUCACUCAGAAUGAUAAGCACUCAAGGUGCUCGACAAAAUGGAUGAGAGAAAAAAAAAAUCAAAGAGCACUUGUGCUUCUAACUGGAUAUGGAAAUAGAGAGAAAAAAAAUCUAACAAAUGGAUGAAGCCAAGGAGAAGAUGGUGCAAUGCUAAAUUAGGUUUUAGGCCUAACUCACGCCCCAAAAGUUAGUUCAGAGGAUGAGGAAGCCUUAUAAGAUAAGGAGUCCACCCAUCUCAUUAACCAACGAUGUGAGACUUUUAUCAUUCUUUAAUAUGCAAUGAGUUAAAAGAUUGAUUCCCAAAUUGCAAAAUGAUUGCAGGACAACCAUAGCUCCGGAUACUCGAGCCCAAGCACCAUCCUCUGCUGCUUUUCAGAUAUGCAGCACUGGAAGUGUGCAGGACAAUGCUGGGAAGCCUUAACUGAGUGGCUACAUCAUCAACGAAAAUCAUGACAUUAUCAUAAACGAUACAAGCAAGCUGAUCACCUUCCUCUUUCAUCUUCUUAACAAGGUAGUUUCUGAGGGGCACCUUACAGUUCUCAUUCAAAUCAUAUAUGUUCUCUAGACUCGGUGACGAUAUGUUAAUUCCCUUUAAUACGUCAUCCAUAGAAUGGAAGACGAAUUCAGGAUGAUUAGAAUAUUUAGGAGUAUUGAAUUCAGGAUGUGCUAUUAUAACAGAAAAGCCUUGAGAAUGAAGGAUACUUCCAAGCUGCAA